rnacentral:misc_RNA from 1 species
GAUGAAGAACGUAGUGAAAUGCGAUAAGUAAUGCGAAUUGCAGAAUUCCGUGAGUCAUCGAAUCUUUGAACGCACAUUGCGCCCUCUGGUAUUCCGGAGGGCAUGCCUGUUCGAGCGUCAUUACAACCCUCAAGCUCUGCUUGGUAUUGGGCCCCGCCAGUUCUGGCGGGCCCUAAAGUCAGUGGCGGUGCCUUCCGGCUCCGAGCGUAGUAAUUCUUCUCGCUCUGGAGACCCGGUUGUGUGCUUGCCAACAACCCCCAAUUUUUUAAGGUUGACCUCGGAUCAGGUAGGGAUACCCGCUGAACUUAAGCAUAUCAAUAAGCGGAGGA